AUAGAAGCAGUGCCACCGUCACAAACCCUCACUGAUGCAGCAUCUUCAACCCACACCCCCAGGGUUCAAGAUAUGCAGCUUUAUCUAAACUCCCCAGAAGCUGUAUUUUGAGUGUCUCACUCUCCUGUUUCAAUUCCCCUUCUCCUUUCCAUCAGACUGUGUGUGUUACUCACUCAGUCGUGUCCAACUCUUUGCGACCCCAUCCUUGAACUGUACCUUGCCAGGCUCCUCUGUCCAUGGGAUUUCCCAGGCAAGAAUACUGGAGUGUUUUGCCAUUCCCUUCUCCAGGGGAUAUUCCUGACCCAAGGAUCAAAAAGGGUUUCCUGCAUGCAGGCAGAUUCUUUACCAUCUGAGCCACCAGGGAUAGUUUUUGCCUCCCUUUGGACAAAGGAAAACCGGCUCAGAAAGUAUUCUUCCAAAUUUUUGUCCUCCCCUCCACAGUCCUUGAAAUACAGCUUUUGAACUUAAAAGCUGAGAAUUAACAUAAAGGGCUGCUGGUUCUUCUGUGACACUCAUCCCGGGUCAGAGAAGGUCUGCUCUUUGUCCUUGUGAAUUCAGGAAGGUACAGCAAAAGGCGGGGAGGGGGAAGUCAGUCAGGAUGCCUAGCAUCCUGCCAGACUUGUGAACUUGGUUCUGUCUUUCCCACAUUACUUUAGGCCUGGAGCAGGGGCGGGAGGGUAUGUUUGAUGUGUUUCAGCAUCGCAUACCUGGAAUCCAGCAUGUGUCAGGUAUGCAAGUAUCUGUGGAGUUUAUGAAUGAAUGAAGCAAUGGAAAAUCAGCAUUGUGCUUGUAUGCAUGCACACCAGACAUAAGAACAAUUGUGCAGCUCCCAAUCAGGGCACAGUGACCCAGUGACUGGCAGUGACUAGAGGUGGGUAGGAACUAGAGUACGUUAUCACGGGUGGCCGAUCCUCAGAGAAACUUCAGAAACUAUGUCAUAACCUGGAAACAUUUUACUGGGUCUGAAACUGAAAACUGGAGAAGCAGGCUAGACCGAAAACAUCCAGACCACACUGGAUUUUCCUGAGGUCCACUGAAUCCACGCCAGCCCCUCGUACCUUUGCUGAGGUGAGGUCUGCAGAUGGAAAACUUGGCUUUGAAGCUCAGGACAGAGUUGAAAGCUCCACACAGAGAAGUGUCUUUAAAGUCUCAUGUUUUAUAUUAAAUCUUCAAGUUGACUUCCUAUUUGACUCCAUGAUAAGUGUGUAUAUGUGUUUUAAAACAAAAAUUAAUGUCUUUCUCACAGCCUGCUGUGAGCUCAGAGCUCUUUUACACUUCCAUAAAUCAUUUUAGCUUUGAGCUUUUCUCUUCCAGACUGAUAACGCUGUCACAUGAAAGUCCUCACCAAAGCUGGAACUCACUGUUAGAUUUAUAUUUUGUGCUGAUGUACUGGCAGGAAUUAUGACCCAAAGAGAUCGGGAAACAGAGACAUAAAUAUAAACACAAUUAACGAGUUCUUAUUCUUGUUUUUACAACUUUCAGGACAAGUUUUAUGUUGACAAAUUCUGUUAUGUUUGAAAUCGUAAGUACUUGAAAUCUGUGUAAAACAAAAAUAGUGAGUGUCCAAACUCAGACUGCAUGGUUGUGAAUAUUUUGCCAUUUUACUCCAGACAUGCUUGAGUGGUGACUCAAGACCCCUCUUCCUCUCACCCAGGCCCUUCCCUCCCUCCUCAAAGGAGCUUCUAUCUGCCAUUUGUUUUGGAGUUGUCAGAUUUUACAUAAACAGUAGGAUGUGCUGGGUUUGUUUUGCAGCUUCAUUUUUGCCUCAGUGCUUUCCUGACAUUUAUCCACAGUCCUCUGUGCAGACAGAGCUAGAGCAGUAAGCUUGGAGUUUGAGGAAAUGGCUUUUGCCCACUUCUGCUUUGAUGGAGUACACAAGCCUCGUGGGGUGUUUGAAGACUCCUGAGAGGGGGUCUCCGAAGCGCCCUCUUCUCUGGGCUCUUGGGCGAGUAUGUGCGUGCUCAGUCGUGUCUGACUCUUUGCAACCCCAUGGACCACAGCCCACCAGGUUCCUCUGUCCAUGGGAUUACCCAGGCAAGAAUACUGGGGUGGGUGGCCAUUCCCUUCUUCAGGGGAAUCUUCCCGACCCAGGAUCAAACUCAGGUCUCCCCCAUUGCAGGUGGAUUCUUUAUCAUCUGAACCACCAGUACACAUAUAACCCCUCCCUCCUAAACCUCUCUCUCAACCCCCACCCACCUUUCUAGGUUAUCAGAGCACUGAGCUGAGCUCCCUUAUACAACAGCGCCCCACUAGCUAUCUACACAUAAUAGUGUAUAUAUGUCUAUGCUACUCUCUCAGCUUUUCCCAACUCCUUCCUCCCACUGUGUGCACAAGUCUAUUCUCUGUGUCUGCGUGGUGUUACUUCUUUACUUUUAUGCAAUACCAAACCUGAACUGAAAACUACUGUGUCUUGAACUCUCACUGUGGGCCAGGUACUGUGGUAGGUCUUAUAGACCAGUGAGGGUUAGGACACACAUGGUGCAUGUUGAAUAAAGAAGCUGAGGCUUCACGAAUUUAUCUAACAUGACAAGAAGGCUCAGAACAGGCUGUCAGACCUCAGGGCCUUCUGGUCAGCUACACACUGUAGAGUCUUGGUCUCACUGUCCAACCCGCAGUCUGGACUCGGGGGCAGUGUCCCUGAGCUGCCCCUGGGUGGUGCCAGCAUCCCCCACCACUGCCUCUCAUCUCCUGCUGGUGAUGCCCCGGACCCUCUCAGAUGAGGAAGGGAGGCCUGCACUUCUUGAGGAAGCAGGGUUCCUGCUGGCUGGAGGCCUCCUCGUAAGGGCCACCUGCUGGCCACUGAUGCUUUCACCUCGAAUCUGGGAGAAACUUUACAUCCCCAUGGCAGUAUGCCACUUCCCAUCCUUCCCAUCACCGUGAGUGUCAGAGCUACUUCAGCCGUGAGCCUUGGCACAUUACUGGUAUAAAGUGUAAAUAUCUGAAUGCUGAUUAUCGUAAAACAAACAGACCACUGUGUCCGGAGCAGAUGGGUGUGAUUCAGGCAGCCAGAGACCCCAGCUGGCAGGCAGCUUGUGCAUCUCUGAACAGCCAGAAACAAGCUUCCCAACCUCCCUGCCCUGCCACCACCUGCUGCCCCCUUUGCAGAAAGUUCCGAGAGCUAAAAGCUGCCCGGGGCCACUUGCCUGUGUGAGCCUUUGCCUCUUACUUAUUUUUUAUACUUUUUAUUUUCUAUUGGGUAUAACUGAUUAACAAUGUUGUGAUCAUUUCAGGUGAAUAGCGAAGGGACUCAGCCAGCUAUACAUAUGUAUCCAUUCUCCCCUAAACUCCGCUCCUAUCCAGGCUGCCACAUAACAUUAAGUAGAGUUCCCUCUGCUGUACAGUAGGUCCUUGUUGCUUAUCCAUUUUAAAUCCAGCAAGUCUCUGCCUUUUCAACCAUUUUCCAUCUGCCCUGCCACCCAAGGACAGACCUCGAACUGCUGAGGAAGAUGGUCCCAUUGAGAGGGCAUGUCCCUGUCCAGCUGGGCAUCCCACCACUCCUGGUCACCCAUGUGUGUACCAGACAGCCAGGCUCACCAUCCUGGCCAGAAGGGACUGAGCCCCCUGCACAGCUCCACUCUGUCUCUUAGGGUCCACCUCUGGUCCCCUCCUCUUUGAAGCAACCAGGAUGACCUCAAUCCUGGUCGCUCCUCUGUCCAUUCACCCAUCUUGGGACAGCGAAGGCAGUCAGAAUCAUCACUUUGUCAGAAUCAUCACUUUGUCUUCCUACCGAGAGAGCAAACCCCCUGGGAUCAGGGACCUCCACACCUGGAGUUCCUCUAAAAGUGUUGGGAGCUGGCCUCCCCUUCUGAUGGGCAGAAUUCAUGUGGUUGGCCAGCCGGGCAAGGCUCUCCAGUGGCUGCCAGCUCAGAGCCCUGUGGAUUCUGUGAACAUAAAAAAGAAUGUUAAGGGAAACAGAAUUUUAGGGGACCACGUGAUUCCACCAAUGCAGGGACCUAGGCUAGAAUUCAGCAUGGUAUUUGUGGCAGAGAGGGACAAAAAUUUCAUUAAAAUUUUAAGCAAGGUGCACCUUCCCCAGCUUUGAGAUAUAAUAGGAAAACAUGGGACUCUGGAACGGUGUAGAGGAAGGGAACCAUUCAGAGCCAAAUGAGAUUAAUAAUGUUUGUAAGGAGUUUGUUAUAAAUAUUGUGUGUGUUCAGUCACUCAGUCGUGUCCAACUCUUUGCAGCCCCAUGGACUGUAGCCCGCCAGGCUCCUCUGAUGGGAUUUCCCAGGUCCAGCCCGCCACCUCGGGACACAAGCACUGAGCCCGUGGACCUGCCAUGAAACCGCACCUGAAGCAAUGGAGACAAGGAAUGCUCUGCGGGGUGUUUGCGUGGGGGCUCCUCUUUGUGGUGAUCUUCCUCUACUUCACCGACAGCAGCCCGGCCAAGCCCGCGCCCAGCUCCUUCUCCUUCCUGGAGACCCGGAGGCUGCUGCCCGCACAAGGAAGGCAGCGGGCCAUCAUGGGGGCCUCGGAGGGCCUGCCCGAGGGCGCGGACUCGCGGCGGGGGUCUCCCCGGGGACUCCCAUCCGGCCCCCUGCGGACAUGGGCCGGAGAUGGCUUUGAACAUGAACAAGAGUUUCUUUCGGCCCAAACAGGGAGAACGUCCCUAAGCGCUUUUCUCCCGGAGGACCCCGCUCCGGGCACGUCGGGGCGCCUCUCCCCUGGGGACCCAGGCCCGGAGAGGGCUCAGCCGCCACGCGCAGUCCUGGGACGUCGGGCGAAGCGAGGGCCCCGGAGGCAGGGCCGGAGCGCGGGGGGCGAGGACGGGGAGCGGCUGUACUCGUCCAUGUCCCGGGCCCUGCUGCGACGGCUCUGGAAGGGCGACGCGUCGGCGCGCAUGCUGCACCCGCGCCUGCAGAAGGCCAUGGGUGCCUACCUGCGCGCCAACAAGCACGGCGUGCGCUUCCGGGGGCGCCGCGCGGCCGGGCGGAGCCGCACCGAGCUGCUGUGCGCCUUGCGGGGCCGGGUACAGGUGCGCACCCUGGACGGCACUGAGCCGCCCUUCUCGGCACUGGGCUGGCGCGCGCUGGUCCCUCCGGUGCCACUCAGCCGGCUGCUCCCACGCAGGCUCCGGACCUGCGCCGUGGUCACGUCGGCAGGCGCCAUCCUCAACUCGUCGCUGGGCGAGGAGAUAGAUUCCCACGAUGCGGUUUUGAGGUUUAACUCUGCUCCUACACGUGGCUAUGAGAAGGAUGUCGGAAAUAAAACCACUCUCCGCAUCAUUAAUUCCCAGAUUCUAACCAACCCCAGCUAUCACUUCAUGGAUAGUGCAUUGUAUAAAGACGUCAUCUUGGUGGCCUGGGACCCAGCUCCUUAUUCUGCAAAUCUUAACCUGUGGUAUAAGAAGCCAGAUUACAACCUGUUCACACCAUAUGUUCAGCAUCGUCAGAGAAACCCGAACCAGCCAUUUUACAUUCUUCACCCCAAGUUUAUCUGGCAGCUUUGGGACAUCAUCCAGGAGAACACGAAGGAGAAGAUCCAGCCCAACCCACCGUCCUCUGGCUUUAUCGGCAUCCUGCUGAUGAUGAACCUGUGUGGCGAGGUGCACGUGUAUGAAUACGUCCCGUCAGUGCGGCAGACAGACCUGUGUCACUACCACGAGCCCUACCAUGACGCCGCCUGCACACUGGGUGCCUACCACCCGCUGCUCUACGAGAAGCUGCUGGUACAGCGGCUCAACGUGGGCACCCAGGGCGACCUGCAUCGCAAAGGCAAGGUCGUGCUGCCCGGGUUGCAGGCUGUGCGCUGCCCACCAGGUGCCUGAGGGCCUGGCCGGGCUCUGCAUCCCGGAGAUGCUGGAAGGCACCCUGGAGGCCGCGUGACCUCAGGUUCAUAUCAUCUGCUGGGAUCCUGACGGUGAUACACUGACUUCCGCUACUUCUUCCUACAGUCAGAUGGUUAGGAAUCCCACCAUCACCUUCACAGAUCUGUUGUACGUCAGUAACAUAACAAAGCCAUAUAAUUAAAUACAUUUGCGUGAAAGCACUGCUCUUUAACAACAACAACAAAAAAAGUAUAUGAUUCAGAGGGAAAGACAGUGAGAGGGGAGAGUCAGCCCAGUGUGUUAGCUGUAGCAGCUCAUUUUGUUGUAAUCUCAAUUUUUGUCACAAAAGCAUCAAAAAAAAUUUUUUUUCCAUACAUGUAGUAAAACAGAAACAUUAUGGAAUACCUUAGUUCAACGUACAAUUUGAAUCUAUACCCAACACCUAUCUCAGCGGUCCAGUUACAACUUCUUGGCCAGAACAGUCACAGCUUCAUUAAAUGUGUUCUUCUCCACAAGUGUGUGAACAUCAGGAAAGUUUAGUACAGAAGGUUUUUUUGUUUCAGGAUUUUUUUUUUUUUUUCCUGAGCAAGAAUGGUUGACAGAAACUGGCCUCUCUGGUCAGUCUACUCAGCAGAAAUUGGGCCAGGUCCCGGACAUCUCCUGUGGCUUAUUGCCACAGUGAAUUUGGGGUCAUUGAAAAGUUUUGAUUGUGACAAUAUCCACUAUAAGCCUACUGUGAGAGCCUCGCUUCCAGAUUUAUGAUAAGGGAUGGAUAAUUCUGUCCAGCCUGCCAACUAAUAUCCAAGCAGACAUGAGCAGGCCACUUUUCUCCCUCAUUUCCUGAAGGGACACAGCGCUAUGCAGUGUCCAGUGAGUCCCGACUCUGGGAAGUGGCUGGUGCAGGGUGACCAGUCCAGUCACCCAGGGCCCUGCCCAGACCUGCAGGCUCUGACCUCAGGUGCCCAUGACACUGAAGUUUCUUCACUCACUUUCCUACUGGGUUCCCCUCUGGGCCCCCUUGUGUCCAGAACAGCCCCUUCUGCUGGCAUGAGUUACUGGGCAGAAGGAAAUUUGCUGGCGGGUCAGCAUAGAUAUAAGUUCAGAAGGCCCAGAAAACACUUCAAAGGCCUCCAAAUAUACUUUGUUGUAACCGAUGCACUUUUAAAAUGUACUUUUAGCUCACAGAGAUUAUAAGAAAGACUGAAGAAGAUAAAGAAAAUGUAAUUAAAGAUUUUGGAUUAAUUAUGGCCUUAAAGACUCUUGGGAACCAGGGUCUGUUAAAAACAACGUGGUACAAGUAUUCAUACAUUGCAGGCUGGGCAUUCUUCUGCUUAAGAGUUUAAGUUGUUUAGUUCCUUGAAACUAUUAGGCAGUUAUAGUUGAUGUGUUGACUCUUCACGUCUGCAGACAGUGAUUAAGCCCUCGAAAUACACACAUUGCAAUAAGCAGCCAGCCUCUCCAUGAAGGAAUUAAAGGAAAUGGUGCCCGCUGCAUUGCUUUCAGACUUCACCUCUUCCAGACCUUCCACCCUUGCUACAAAGAGAUACUCCAUAAACUGAGGCCGUUAGGUGAUCCUUUCUUCUCUCUCAGGACUGAAGAAGGUCACUCUGCGUCACUUCUUCAGGUAACUUCACUCCACCUUUUGUUGUUGCUGUUGUCACACUGAAAUGUUGACUAGAAAUGACAGCUCACUCACGUCCAGGUCCCAGGUCCUCCCCUUGAGGCUGUCCAGCCCUUCCCCAGGUAUGAAGGGAGGGUCUAAUAUGUAGAGCAUCCUCACUGUCCCCAGGGAUGCCAUUGCUGGCCCUUUGCAUCACUUUAAGGGCAAAGGGCCCACAGGUGGACAGGAAGGAGGUACAUAAGUACCCUCCUCUGAUAGGGCUGGCGAGGGACUUUGGUUCAACUUUGGUCCCAGGGUCUGUCAUUGUCCACAGUAUGCAGGCCUCAGGGAACCCCAGCCCCACCCUCCCACAUGUCCCACACCCUCCUUUAAUCAACCCUGGGCUCCCCAGUAAUCGUCAUCACAGUAGCUGUAGCAUCUAGACAAAGCCAUGCUGAAGUAAUGAUCAGCCUUCUCAAAGCUGGGAAAUGAAAGUAAGUGUUUAAAGCCACCUGGGGUCACUCUGUUACAUGACCAUGAGCCAGUUCCUUCUGGUGGAACAGAUUAAUUCCUGAUGUUGUGGGCUGUCCCCUAGGGGCAGGAACACUCACAGCCACAGAAUUAAUUAGGUCCAGUCUGGCCGUGUGGAGUGGGGUCAGGACACGUGAGGGAUGGUAGGUGAUGGAGGAUUUUAUGUGCACAGAUGAUGUCAUGAUGAAAGCACUCUCUCCAGCCUUUCUCUUAGAGAUCAAGGCACUGUGCGUGGUUGAGGCUGGUGGCCAAAGUGACCCAGUCCCACUGCUGCUUAACUAUGGGGAGAGGCAGAGCCAGGAGGUAGGGUGAUGACCAAGAAACACGUGGCUGAGUGCACAGGCCACAUAGUGUGUGAAUAUAUUCAACCAGAUUCCCUGUGUCGACUUCUCACUUUCUGAUUGUUUAGGACUCUUACCCAGAGGUUCCACAGCCAAUGAGGGCAUGUAUGUAAAAAUUCAGUGCUUAGGGAAAGUGUGCCUGAGUUCACAUUUGUGUGUUAUGCUCCGGAUAUUUCCAUCAUGAAAUUAUUCUGCAUGUGUCUGUGUGUCUGUCUCUCAGGCAUUAUUUAUACCACUGGUAAAUGAAAGAUAUUAAUCUAUUGAGGGAAUAAAUUAUAAGUUCUGAUUCUUGCUUUAUUAAGUAGCUGAAGCCUUUUAGUAAGAAGAAAUCCAGAAAAUUUCUCUAUGAGCUCAGGCUAAUAGAAUUUAAGGAAUGAAAGAUACUGAUAUAGUUCUGAUUCUUGUUAUAACAAGUGUGCAUGUAGAUAUAGUUAUAUAAUUGUAUAUAUACGUAUCUACACACAUGGUUGCUUUUAAACUGUUUUUUUUUCAUCAAACUUUAUUCCUAAAACUUUGACAAUAAAUUUUUUUAAUUAUGCAAACACCAGUUUUUUAAGAAAAGUAAGCAAAUGUUAUAUGUCUUUCUGUGAAAUAAAAAAAUCCAGUUUUCCCAUGCACUCAUAUUUCACACCUUCUGGCUACAUUAAAAAAUAUGGCAGAAAUAUUUACAAGGUGCUCUGAGGGUAGAACUACAACCUAAAGGUUAUGUCCUCAUCAGAAACCUAAUUGAAGUCUGAUCUUUGAUGGGAAGUUGAUCUAGAAUUCAUGGUUUUUGCAAGAUUAGGGGAAGAAAUGCUUAUUUGGUUCUAUGGGAAAUAGUCUCCUAGCUUAGGUUUCACACAAAUUAACUGCAUCAGAACUGUUAAAACCUAACAUUUAUGACACCACACAUCGUGUUAUAUUCUAGAUAAAAAUCCUUGUGAAAUUUUUCUUGGAAAAAAAAUCCUUGAAAACCAGUCAACUUUUUUAACAGCUUUGGGAAUUUUUUUGUAUGAUACUUUUUAAAAUGAAAUGUGUACUCUUCAAAAUGAAUUAAGGCUUGAGGUUUUCCAGGAGUCACCUUUUAAACGUGUUUGUACACAGUUUAACACUUUGAUAUUUUCUAGUUUGGUUUUGUAUAUUUUUAUGUGUACACAAUGUACAGACUUUUUUCCCUGUAAAUAAAACAUGUUUUCAUUUGUCUA